rnacentral:rRNA from 1 species
UUGACCUCGGAUCACGAAGGAAUACCCGCUGAACUUAA